UAGGGAAUCUUCGGCAAUGGACGAAAGUCUGACCGAGCAACGCCGCGUGUGUGAAGAAGGUUUUCGGAUCGUAAAACUCUGUUGUUAGAGAAGAACAAGGACGUUAGUAACUGAACGUCCCCUGACGGUAUCUAACCAGAAAGCCACGGCUAACUACGUGCCAGCAGCCGCGGUAAUACGAAGGUGGCAAGCGUUGUCCGGAUUUAUUGGGCGUAAAGCGAGCGCAGGCGGUUUCUUAAGUCUGAUGUGAAAGCCCCCGGCUCAACCGGGGAGGGGCAUUGGAAACUGGGAGACUUGAGUGCAGAAGAGGAGAGUAGAAUUCCAUGUGUAGCGGUGAAAUGCGUAGAUAUAUGGAGGAACACCAGUGGCGAAGGCGGCUCUCUGGUCUGUAACUGACGCUGAGGCUCGAAAGCGUGGGGAGCAAACAGG
rnacentral:rRNA from 1 species